rnacentral:rRNA from 1 species
GACGAACGCUGGCGGCGUGCUUAACACAUGCAAGUCGAACGGAAAGGCCCUGCUUGCAGGGUGCUCGAGUGGCGAACGGGUGAGUAACACGUGGGUGAUCUGCCCCUUACUUUGGGAUAAGCCUGGGAAACUGGGUCUAAUACUGGAUAGGACCAUGCUGUAGGUGGUGUGGUGGAAAGAUUAGUUUCGGUAAGGGAUGAGCUCGCGGCCUAUCAGCUUGUUGGUGGGGUAAUGGCCUACCAAGGCGUCGACGGGUAGCCGGCCUGAGAGGGUGGACGGCCACAUUGGGACUGAGAUACGGCCCAGACUCCUACGGGGGGCAGCAGUGGGGAAGAUUGCACAAUGGGCGCAAGCCUGAUGCAGCGACGCCGCGUGGGGGAUGACGGCCUUCGGGUUGUAAACUCCUUUCAGCCAUGACGAAGCCCUUGUGGUGACGGUAGUGGUAGAAGAAGCACCGGCUAACUACGUG